AUGCUGCUGGCCAGGGGACUGCAGAUAGCCACGACAGAUGUCCAGAGGAGGGCAACAACACAGGCAGCAAAAGACAUGGUCAACACUUUAAGCAUGUCAGUUCGAUGGCGCAGAAUGGAUGCCAACCACACCCUUGCAGAUGCUGCUGCGCUUGACCCAAGAUUUAAAAGGAUGGCAUUCACGGAUGGCAGAGCUGCAGACGAUGCUUUCCAGAGAAUAUCAACUUCAGCAGCAAGACUCGCUCUGAGCAGCAGCGAACCCAUCCAGCAACCGAUCCAAGGGGAGGGUGCAGACAGUGCUGCAUCAGUUGCUUGGAGCUAUUUCCAUGAGCAGCAGGUAGCUGGAACAGUGCCAACUGGAAGCAGGAAUCCCACAGCAGACGCCAUCAUGGAGGUGCAGGCUUACCAAGAGGAGCCUCUUCUUCCAAAAAACGCGGAUCCUGCUGGAAAAGUCGAGCCUCGCUACGACUACCCCAGGCAUAGCAAGCUCAUGGCUAAGAGGCUUUGCGUUGUCGCAACAUCAGUUCCAUCUGUUAGAAAUAGGACCGUUUAGGAGUCCUCUGCAGUGUUGAAAGAAACUUGUUUUGUAAAGGUUUUUCUAUUUUAAUAUAUUGUUAAAAAGGUUAGAUCACUUGUGUUCCUCAAUGUACAUUUGCCAAAGAAGAAGAAGUAGAGCCAUAAAGCAUGAUACUGCUUUAUUAUUUCAGUGUGUCAUUGGCAGUGGCGUGUUUUUUUUUUUGAGGAAGCCAAAUGAGACAAAACCUUUAAUCUACAUGCUUUUUUGAAGGUGGGGGACAGAAAAGUGUACGUCGCAGUUUGUAUCUAUUAAAUGUAAGUAACUAUUUCAGCUAUAAAGAGCUAUUUCAGCGCCUGGUAAUUUUACCAGGAUUUACACACGGCUGUAAUCUGACUCACUCACUCACUCACUCAAAAAAAAAAAAAAAACUUAUUUUUAUUGACCAAUGCAACUUAUUCCCAGCAAUCAGGGCACAUUUAGAAAUAUAAUAACACAAAAAAUAAUAAACUGACAGCCCAGGGAACAGUAUUGCUGCACCGGGAG
rnacentral:lncRNA from 1 species